CUACGGGUGGCACCAGUGGGGAAUAUUGCACAAUGGACGAAAGUCUGAUGCAGCAACGCCGCGUGGAGGAUGACACAUUUCGGUGCGUAAACUCCUUUUAUAUAGGAAGAUAAUGACGGUACUAUAUGAAUAAGCACCGGCUAACUCCGUGCCAGCAGCCGCGGUAAUACGGAGGGUGCAAGCGUUACUCGGAAUCACUGGGCGUAAAGAGCGUGUAGGCGGGUUAAUAAGUUGGAAGUGAAAUCCUAUGGCUCAACCAUAGAACUGCUUCCAAAACUGUUAACCUAGAAUAUGGGAGAGGUAGAUGGAAUUUCUGGUGUAGGGGUAAAAUCCGUAGAGAUCAGAAGGAAUACCGAUUGCGAAGGCGAUCUACUGGAACAUUAUUGACGCUGAGACGCGAAAGCGUGGGGAGCAAACAGGAUUAGAUACCCGGGUAGUC
rnacentral:rRNA from 1 species